UUGCUGCUGCUGCUGCUGCU
rnacentral:misc_RNA from 1 species